GUGUGUGUGUGUGUUUGUAUAGUGUGUGUAUAUAAUGCAGUGUGUGUGUUUGUAAAGUGUGUGUGUGUGUUUGUAUACAAUGCACACAAAUACACUGCAUUAUAUACACACUAUACAAACACACUG